GGGAAGAAAUUUUUAUAAUUGUACCUUUGGUAUCAGGGAAAUUUUAAAGUAGACUAAAUUUAUAAUCGAUUUUAUUGGAUUUUUUAUUUAACUGGUAGUUGCAUUUAGUAGUUAUAGUUUUAAAGAGGUGAAAAGUUUACGACAAUAAUGGUAUCUAGCUAUUUUAACUAUUUUAAAGGGUUAAGCUUUUAAAAUUUUAUGUUUAUAAAUAGUUAAAAAAACUAGGCUUUAAAUUAGCUGUGCUUUUAAAUUGUUCCAAAUAAUUUUGUACUAAAAGUUAGAUAUAAAGUUGGUUAGAUUAUAUUUAUAGCUUUUAGUGAGUAUAAAUAAUGAAUUUAUUGAACAACUUAGCGAAGCUCAAAAAUUACUAAACACUAAGUGGACAGUUUAGCAAAAACAUUUUUGUUUGAAAAAUGAAGAGUAAGGCCUGCCCGGUGAAUAAUGUAAACGGCUGCGGUAUUUUGACUGUGCUAAGGUAGCAUAAUCAUUAGUUUUUUAAUUGGUAACUGGAAUGAAAGGUUAAACCGGUUAGUUAAGUUUGUAAAGCUGUAGGAGAAAUUUAAGUAAAGAUAAUAAUUUCUUUAUUUUCUAGGGGACGAUAAGACCCUAGAAGCUUAAUAAAUAGAUUUAUAAUUGUAAUAAUAAAUAAUUUUUUUUACUGGGGUGGUAAUAGUUAAUUAACUACUAUAUGUGUACAGGAUCCUUUUUAUAAAGAUGUAAUGUAAUAGUUACUCUAGGGAUAACAGUACAAUAUAUUUGAAGAGAUCUUAUCGAUAAAUAUGUUUGUAACCUCGAUGUUGAAUUAAGAAAUCUACGUAGAGCAAAGGAGACGGCAGAAGGUUUGUUCAACCUUUAAAU
rnacentral:rRNA from 1 species